ensembl:lncRNA
UGCAGUUAAUAGCAGGAGCCUUAUCCUAUCUGGGCUCCUCUCAGUGGGCUGCAGCUUCCUUCAGGGCAUAUCUGUCUACUCCAGUUUGGUCUUUUCCACAGGCUGAGGGAGAAGUCUUGGAUCUGGGGCCUGAUUCACCUCCUCCCCAUCCUUCUUCAUUGACCUUGGAGCCUGCAGUUGGAAGGGACCUCAAGAGAUCAUUGAGUACAUCAUCCCUGACAAAGCAGUAUUUCAGAACUUGACUCACUUUGGAAGACUGCCAAUAGUGCAAACUUGGAAUGAGGAGAAGAUCCCUCACUGCAAACUUUCAACCCAUGGUAAGGGCAAAAUUCUAGCCAAGGUGCCAGCAGGAUCUACACUGCACUGGGGAAAGCUCAUGUGAAAGCAAAAGCCCACCAGAAGCCAACAACUCCCAGGAGAGCAGCGGACAAGACACAGACAGAGCCAGGAGUAACAGUGACCCCCCUCCACUCUACCACUUCCAACACAUAACACACUUGCAAGAGUUCCAGUCAUGUUAUCCACCCAAAAGAAAGCUAUGUCCUCUGCAUCUCCUGUGGCCUUUCCAGCAUCUGGAACUGACCGAGUUACCCAGACAGAGCCCCCAAGUGAACAUGCUUCCAUUGAGAUCUCAGUUUUUGAGGUGUGCCCAGGUUUUCUGUCAGGAGAUGGAUUGGUGGGAUCACAAUCUACUAUCCCUGAAACAGAAGCAUCAGCCAAUUGUAACACAGGAAAUGAAAUAUUCCCUACUCUCUUGCCAUAAAGGAGAAGGAGGGAACCUAAGAUUCAGGGUUGAGUGGAAGCAGAUUUCUGCUCAGAAAAAGGCAGAUCACCUCUCCUGCCUACCUCACGUUCCAAGAUGUCUUUAUAAAAGUUGUAUGAAACUCUGGAAUGUAAUGGACAGACAAACGAUAAUGCAGAUGGUCUGUCCAGGUUGGAGGGGUUGCCUAGGGCAAGUCAACCUAGUCCCUGUGUCACUGCCACCUCUGUCAAGAAAAAACAGAAGGGUUUUUCUCACAAGUAUUUCGCUUCUGAGGGGAAUAGAGGGCCCAAUAUGUCAACCAGACCCAAUCCAUUGGGGUGCAUCAGGCCCAGCACUGCCAGCUGAGCAAGCAAAAGGAUUGUUCUACUGUAUGGGGAUUGGUAGGUCAUGGCCUAACCAGAGAUUCAGUAACGGCUGAGAAGGCUAACUCAGGGCACACACAUAGAAGCAAUGCACCUGGACCAAAGGUCUAUCUCUCCUCCCUCUCAUUUAAGGGUUAAUAGCCAAGAGAGGAAGAUCUCUGUUCAGAGAUUGCCCCUUCUGGAGACUUCGCUGACCUUUGGAAUGGGUAGGUUAUUUGUCUCUAUUUCGUCUUCUGAACUAUAUCUUGACAAAGAACUUCACAAGUGUGUUCAUAUGCUAGUAGAAGGUAAUAUCAACACAUUCCCCUGCUCCACACCCACCCUGGGUGUGGAAGAAAGUAAAUUAAAAAGAAGAGUUCCUGCUAUAUUAUUUGUUACUAAAUUGUAGUGUAAUAACUAAUUAUGUAUACAAGAUUUGUAUUAUAAAGAAAUCUAAAUUAAAAUGUAUGAAUUUACUGAUUUGGAGUAAGCCCCAUGGAAUCCAGAUUAGGUUCUGUGAAUAAAAAAGAGCUGAAGAACAUUUGAGGGGCUUACUGAAUGUAGAUAAACAGGAUGUUGACUGUUUUAGAGUAAAGUGUCAACACAUAGUUCAGUUCUUCUUUCAGAAGAAAAAUAAAUUGGAUGAAAACAGAAAUACCAUGUUGUUUACUCCAUCCUACCUGUUUUGUAUAUUUCUACUGCCCAGUUCCUCCUAUAAUCUUUGCAAUCUUUAUUUCCUAUUUAAAACAAGAAUUGCCAACAAUUUUACUGUAUGUAUAAAAUCUUUUUAAUUCAGUGUAUUUCAUAGAAAACAUUUUUCCUGACAGGUUACAAUGAGUCUAUUAAUGCCAUAGCAAUUACAAGCAAAAAAUUUUAUUAAUCAUCAUUAUUAAUCAUAUUAAUACUCUCACAUUUUUUAGUAAAAUAUGUAUGUAUCCAAAUGUCCUAAACCAAAUGUAGAAUGAAAAUGAAGCCAAAUUUCAGUAGAUUAUUAUUUUAAAACUUAAAAAUCUUUGUCAUGUUCCAUUAAAAUACAAGUCUUCAGUGAGUGAACAGAAGAAAUAAGACUGCAAGGUCAAAAACUACUUCCAUCAAGACACUGACCUAUUCACACCAAGUCACCAAAAUGAUGUUAGUUGUUACUGGUUUAUUUCUGCUUGAACACUAUUUGUCUGUCAAUAAGUUUUAUAAAAAUAUUUUCCAAAUAUAACUCAAAGAAGAUUUCUAUUUAUUUCAGAAUGAUUUAGAUUUCUCCCAUAAAUACAUAAAUUAUCUCUGUCAGAUACACUGCUCAACAACAGCUUCUCAUUAGCUCUUUCAUUACAAUGAUCUGUUUCAGAGUUGGUAAUUAUAGCAUCUAAUACAGUAAAGCAUGUCUAAGAUCUAACAAAUGUGGAGUGGCCUUUCU